CAGGACUUCUGCACCAGCCACAGGCUAGCAGAGAGCAGUGAGGAGCCUGAGCGAAUGCAAAGGAGUAAGACGGGGGACCUUACGACAAGUGAACCUGUUCCCUAAGCCAUCUGUUUAGGCAGAUCCCUCCUAGCAGCCCGGAGCUACUAGGGAGCAGGACGGGGGUCUCUGAAACACAAGUCACCAGUGGGAAUAAGGCCACUGGGCAGGAGGUUGUUUGUCUUUCCUCCCUCUCAGUGGGUGGAGUUUGCAAAGGGCACACGGAGUAUUUUUUCUGGCUGGCCCCAUGUCCUUCCCGUGCAAUGCCUAGGGGAUGCUACCAGAGGCUCCUGAGAGUGGCAAUGGACUGGCUUCCAGAAAGACAAGUUAAAACCCUGCUCCAAGGUCUACAGGUGUCCAUUCAAGAAGAAGAUUAGAUCUUCGGACACGAAAGUCAUCCUCCUAGUCCCAGAGAGAGAGUGUGUGCCAGUGGGGGAAGAGGCAGAGGAAGAGGAGAGAGAGAGAAUCUCAGGCAGACUCCCUGCUGAGCGUGAAGCCCCAUGGCGCACUCAGUCCCACAACCCCAAGAUCGUGACCUGAGCCGAAAUCAAGAGUCAGAUGCUUAACUGACUGAGCUACCCAAGUGCCCCCUUAACUACUUUUAAGUAUUCAGUUCAGUGAUAUUAAAUACAUUCCUAGUGUUGUGCAGUCACCAUCACCACCCAACUCCAUAACUCUUUCCACCUUGUGAAACUGAAAUUCUGUCCCCACUAAUCACCACCUCCCAGUCCCUUCCCCCGUCCCAGAGGCCCAGCAACCAUCAUUCUACUUUCUAAACCUCUAUGAUUUUGAUGACUCUAAGCAUCUCCUAUAAGUGGAAUCAUACAGUAUUUUUAAUCUUUUUGUGACUGGUUAAUUUCACUGAGCAUAAUAUCCUCAAGGUCCAUCCAUGUUGUAGUCUGUGUCAGAGUUAUUUUGGGUGUAUACCCAGAAAUGGAAUUGCUGGAUCAUAUGGCAAUUCUAUUUUUAAUUUUUUGAGAAACCUUCAUACUGUGUUCCACAGUGACUAUACCAUUGACGUUUCUUAAAGUGUACAAGGGAUCCCGUUUCUCCACAUCCUCUCUGACACUUGCUAUUUUCCUGUUUUUGUUUUUGUUUUGUUUCAUAGUAGCCAUCCUAAUAGGUGUGGGGUGGUCUUGAUUUGCAUUUCCCUAAUGAUUAAUAAUGUUGAGCAUUUUUCAUGUGCUUACUGGCCAUUCGUAUAUCUUCUUAGGAGAAAUGUCUAUUUAAGGCCUUUCUUUGUUCAUAUUUGAAGUAGGCUCUAUGUUGAGUUUUAGAAGUUCUCUCUGUAUAAUGGAUGUAAAUCCCUUAUCAGAUAUAUAAUUUACAAUUAUUUCCUCCCAAUCUGUGGGUUGCUUUUUGAUUGUGUUGAUAUUCUUUUGAUGUACAAAAUUUCAAAUUUUCAUAAAAUCCAAUUUGUCUAUUUUUUUCCUUUGUUGUCUGUGCCUUUGAUGUUACAUCUAAAAAAUCAUUGCCAAAUUGAAUGUCAUGAAGUUCUUGCC
rnacentral:lncRNA from 1 species